GCCCUACGGGGCGCAGCAGUGGGGAAUAUUGGACAAUGGGGGGAACCCUGAUCCAGCGACGCCGCGUGAGUGAAGAAGUAUUUCGGUAUGUAAAGCUCUAUCAGCAGGGAAGAAAGAAAUGACGGUACCUGACUAAGAAGCCCCGGCUAACUACGUGCCAGCAGCCGCGGUAAUACGUAGGGGGCAAGCGUUAUCCGGAUUUACUGGGUGUAAAGGGAGCGUAGGCGGUUACGCAAGUCUGGUGUGAAAGGCGGGGGCCCAACCCCCGGACUGCUUUGGAAACUGUAUAACUGGAGUGCAGGAGG
rnacentral:rRNA from 1 species